ACCCCGGCCCCGGGCUCCAGCUCGGCAGAGGGCGGUGGGUGGUUCGGCCUCCUGCAUGUCCCCUCUGUGGGGUCUCCAGGGCCGGUGGUCCCAGAGACCAUCCUGGGGGAGUGACCCACAUGGGCACUGUGUGUCAGGCUGCUGUAGCCUGUGUAGGAGUCUGGGGGUGAAUAGAGGGAGAAGGCUCCUCCUGACUUGGAUGGUGGGUGCCUCCCCUGCCUGUACCAUGUGGCCUUGGCACUGGUGUGGCUGUGGGGUUCGGGAUAGGACGUACAGAAGGCCCACACGGAUGGAAGCACUGGCUCUACCCAGCCUUGCUGGGAGCCCUGGCCGCAGCUCUGGCCUCUCUCCCUUUCCGUCUAGGUCAGCUCUCUCUUGUCCCUCCCACCUGAAGUAGGAAGAUGAGGGGCAGCAUGAUCACUGUCAUGGGCGGGGCGGCAGUGUGGCCGCGGAAGGCAGCCCUGCCACAUCGGAGCUCCCAGACUCGAAGGCCAGCGAGACAAGAGAAGCCCCUGGAUACACUCACUUCUUGCCCUCCUGGGCCUGCCGCUGCACUUCCUGCAGCCCGUCGACCGCCUGGUGAAAAUCAAACACUGCACGGCCAGCCGGGUAAGUGGACGACCACCCCAUUGCCUGCAACACAUCACAGGGGACUGAGUCGUACAGUGGACACGGUGACUUACGUUGAGGGGGAUUCUGACACCUGUUACAACAUGGGCGGACCUUGAGGACACUAUGGCGAGCGACACAGGCAGGUCACCAAAGGACAAACACCCUGUUGGAAGAAAUGGCCCAAACCAAACCAAAGCAACGGGAAGCACGUGCAGAGCCCGAGCGCAGAGGAGAGCUUGUGGAGGUGGCAGGGUUGCCGGCAAACGGCAGAGGGGACUCUUCUUGGGGUGAGGACAGUGCUCUGGGGCUGAGCUGUGUUGAACGUCAUGGCACAUAAAUUAUACCUCGGUGAA